AACGGGUGAAGGCGCAGAUGCCUUCACUUGAGUAACAUUCAAAAAAAAAAAAAAAGGUUUGCUUUGCUUCUUCUCAAACCACACCACGACAGCUCCACUUCCGGCGACUUUUCGACGAAGCUCCAGCCGGUAAGGGCGCUCCAAGAUUGAAACCUACACCUACACUCCAUUUGGUUAAAGAAAAGAGAAGGAUUAAGGUUCAUGUGUGGUUCUUGAAUCAAUUCAAGAGAAGACUUUGCUUUCUUGAUUUGGUGAAACUAACAAGUUUCAAUGUAAGAUUUCUUGACUCAAAUUGUUCUAAUUAAAAUUGGGUUAGGAUGAAAAUAAUAUUGUGAUAGAAUUUUAAUGGUUUGACCUUGAAAAAUUAAGGUAGACUGUAAAUAUUUAGAAAUGGGUUGGAUUGUAAAAUAUGGAAUGUGAGAGUUGAAUGGGUCGAGGAAUAUGGAAAUUUAAUGAAGUUUAUUUUAUUGAAUAGGUUAGUGAAUUUACGUUGAGUAUACAUUGCGAUUGUGGUAAGAACUUGCAAUUCGCUUUGAGGUAGAGAAUUUUCCCCAUUUUUGUUGAAUUCUUCAAGUUUUAUAAAAAUAUCUUGAAUUUCCUCUUCUGUGAUAUCUUACCAUUGUUUGGUUGGCAAAUUCAUUUGGGCUACUCUUUGUUUGUUCCAAAGAGAGCCAAGCCCCUAUUUUAUCCAUGUUACUUGUCAAUUCUACAAUCGAUUAUUCUUUGUAUAUUAAAGCUUGGAAAUGUCAAGUUUGAUUGACAUGUUUAAAAUGCUCUCUAUGAAACGUGUGUGUAUGUGGACAUUGCACUCUUUUGUACAUUAGUAGUGGCAUGGUGGAUCAUCAAGUAUGGACCUGGGUGGUUCACGUUAGGUGUUGGUGGAUUGGAGGUUACUAUGGUUUUUGGGCCAAGAGGGUGCUCCGUGAGAUCGGGACUCUUGUGCCAGAUAUAUGAGAUAGCCAGGUACUAGAGAACUGCGUGGCGGCUCUAGUGUGGCUUUAUGUGAUCAACUCGAUACUAGAGAAUUGCGUGACAGCUCUAAUGGGGCUCUUAUGAGAUUGCCAGGUAUUAGAGAACUGCGUGGCGGCUUUAGUGUGCCAUUAUGAGAUUGACAUGGUAACAUUGUGAUAAUGAUUGAGGAGUCAUUGGAGGCGAGUUUGGAGGUUCAGAUGGGUGACCAGGUGAGUUUGUUUUUGAGGUCGGUACUACAGAUCAGUAGGAGGGGGCGUGACCCUGGUGGUCUGAACGAGUGAUAAGCUUAUGUGUUGGACUUUGGAUGUCCUUUAUUGGUUUGGGAUUAUAUAUAUAUAUAUAUAUACAUUAUGAGAUUGUUUUCGGAAUUUAUGUUGGAUGACCAGGAGGGUGCUCCGGAAUAUUGGGACUCCUGUGUCUGGUAGUAUGGUUAUGGUAGUGGACCCUGAGGGUCUUGACUGUACUGAUUCUGAUUCUUUCUGGAUGUUAUUAGAUUAUUAUGAACUGGUUGAGUUUUUUGUAUAUGUGUAGGAUGACAUUCUCUAAUUUAUGGGAAGAUGCUGUCCGAUUUUCUGCUCGAUUUUCUCUCAACUCUAUUAGAGUUGUGUGGGGUUAGUGGUGUCGUGGUGUCAUUUGUCUUCCUCUUUCCUUCUCCUCAUGCUCUAAGGGUCGGAGCGUGACAUCACGCUAGUCCGUUCGACGCUAUCAUGAUUUCAGAUAACACAAGCGACUUUGCGGCAUAGCUAGUAGCACUAAACGCAAAGAUGGGGGAACAAGCAACUCGGUCGACUCUACUUGUAGAGGAAAAUGCCAAGUUGAGAGCCGAGAGUGCAUCCAUGCAUGCGGAGAAUGCCACUAUCCACGACAAGAUAAAGCAACUGAUGACCCAACUAUCCACUCUCGCGCGGACUUCCCAUGUUCGCUUUCACGAAGUCAUAGGCCCAAUGUCUUCGCUUGGCAUACUGCCUGAAGCCUCCAACCGAUAAAAUCCUCCUCAGUCGAAUGACGGAUGCCCUCCAUUAUCAACCGCUCCACCACCUCCUCUUCAUUCGACAACGAUUCCGACCAACCAUCACAUCUUCGUUUUCGGCGUGGGGAUAGCCCUUUUGAAUGACCAAUCCACACUAUCGAGCAAAUCUGAGAGGCUGACUUUCGUAGAAUCCAUCAUACGAUGACUCCCAAGAGUCCCAACAUCGAUCAGGAAAAGCCAACCCAAUAGCUACUGUGAUUCUCCUUUUGUAGACCACAUCUCAUUGGUUGAGAUGUCGCGAAAGUUCCAUUUUCCCAAUAUGAGAUCCUUCUACGGGACGACCGACCCAGAUGAUCAUAUUGCCCAGUACCGUCAGAGGAUGAUGACAACUACCGCACCUAAAGAGUCUCGAGAGGCCUGCAUGUGCAAGGGCUUCAGGUGCUGCCUCACUGGUCCUGCCCUCCAAUGGUUUAUUAACCUACCUAACAACUCCAUCUCCUCCUUCGCUCAAUUAACCAACCUAUUCGUCGAGCAGUUUGCUAGCAGUCGUUGAGUGCCAAAGAUGUCGAGCGAUCUUUAUAAAAUUAAACGUGGGUCAGCCGAAUCACUUAGCUCAUACAUUGGUCGCUUCUUAGCGGAGAAAGUAUUGAUCACCAACUACAACAUAGAAACAUCUAUCACGGCUUUUAAGAAGGGGCUCCUUCCGUUCGAUGAAUUGUACAAAGAGUUGACUAAGUUCCCUUGCACCAACAUGGAGGAUGUACUGGAUCAAGCAUGGGCCCAGGUCAAGUGGGAAGAAGAUGAGUGCAACCAAUUGAUCAUUCCAUCGUCGGCAUGUCGAACUGAUGAUGAUUAACAUCCGGAUCACAA